UGUCCUGUAGCUCAGUGGUUAGAGUACUCGCCUUAGAAGCGAGAGCCCUGGGUUUGAUUCCCGGCAGGGUGA